GUAGAGGCCAUCGCGUUUCGGCCCGUUUCAAUCGUUGUUGCAGAGAACUCAGAAAGCUCGAAUUCGUGAUCUUUUCUGGGACCAAACUCCAUAUCGAUGGGGAAGAGAAAGGAGCGCCGCCUCGCAGCUCUAAGCGCGGCUGGUCGAAGAGUAAAGCUCGAUCUUUUUGCGGAACCCUCUGGGGAUUUGGGUGGCUCCUCUGCACAUGAUGAAGUUGGAGGGGAUCUAGAUCAGAGUUAUUGUGAUGGAGUCCCCAAUUCACCAUCUACUUCAGCUCAACACCAGGAGAAUCCUUUGCUGUUACUUGGACAAUACAGUGACGAUGAAUUGGAGGAUGAAUCAAAUAAGGGGCUUAAGAAUGACGUUACUGAGAAUUCAUUGAUUGAAGAUAAUGGACAGGUAAAGGAGUCUGGUGAUACAGAAUCUGGAGUUUUAGAAAACAAUACUGGCAAAGACGUUGCAGCUCAACAGGCCAAGGUAGAGGAUGUGGAGAAGGAUGCUGCUUCAAAUCUGGAUGAUGAUGAAAUCAGAGGAAGUGAUGCUACUGUUUCAGGAGAACCUCACAACCAAGCAGAUGCAGCUGCACAAGUCUCUGAUCCAGGGUCUUCUGGGGUACAAAUCAUUGGAGAAGUGGCUUCUGGGUGGAAAAUAGUGAUGCAUGAAGAGAGUGGUCGGUAUUAUUACUGGAAUACUGAGACCGGAGAAACUUCAUGGGAACCACCUGAUGUGUUGGCUCAGGGAUCUGAAAUAACCACAGAACUGAACACAUCUCAUAUUACUGAAGAAAAGGAGAAUGCUUCCCGAGAUAUGCAUGCAUCAUCAAGCCCAAAUUUUCAUUCGAACAUGUCUGCUAUUAAUGAACCUGAAGGCUCCAUCUUAGCUCCUGAAACUCAAGAAAACUGUGAAAGUGGCUUUCAUCAGAAGAAAUGGAAUGGACACAGAGUUGAAAGUCAAGAUAUUCUAAAUUUAAGUUCCAACAUAGAACAAAUUGAAUCGACUGAGAGUUCUGUCACACUUACUGUAUUGCAUCACCAAGCUUUGUCAUUAGGUGAUUAUGUUCCUGCGCAGCAGUCAAAUAGUGCUCUUUCUAGCACAAUUGGUCCAGCUACGACAGUUUAUGAUGAUAAGGAUGAAAAACCAACAGUAGUCAAUGAGCAGCAUGAGUCAGCAGUGGCUCUUUCUUCUUCUCUUGUAAAAUAUGGUGAAAGCCUGUUAAAACGGUUGAUGUCACUUGAAGGAUACAAGGAUCAUGGCCAAAGAUAUGACUGGAUAUCAAAGUACACCAUGGAAGUUGAGAUCAGACUUUCUGAUAUCAAGUCACUUUUGGCUUAUGGUUCCCCUCUUCUUCCAUUUUGGGUGCAUUGCGAAGCACAGCUUAAACGACUUGGUUGUGCCAUUAAUGAUCAAGUUUUGCAAUUUUAUAAGUCUGAGCAGCUAAACAAAGUUGAGCAUCAUCCUGUUUCAUCCUUCAGAGGAGAUGGUAUCUCCUUGCAAAGCAUGGGAGGAGAAUCUGAAGUGGGUGAGAAGGAUCAAGUACUGACUUCUGCUAAUGAAACACAACACAUUUCUCCAGAUGUUGAUAAAUUAAAUCUGGUUCACAAAGAAGCUCAUGGUAGGCAUACACGUGUUGACAAUAUAAUGACUAACCAUGCAUUGUCUUCUGGACUUCCCACUGAACUGAGCAAGGAAAUGGAAGGAAAAAUGGAAAAAGACAAUGAGACAGCACUCCUAGAUGCAUUUAUUUCUAAAAAUGCAACCCGGACUGGAGAUACAGACAUGGAUGUGGAAAUGGAAGUUGAUGAAGCUCCUGCAAAUAGCAUAACUGGAGAUUCAUUAGUUACCAAAGUCUUUCCUCCAUUGGAGCAACAAAACCAGAUGACUCCACCUUCUGUGGAGUGCCUAACCUUAGAGCCUGGAAAUGAAAUUGCUGCCCCACCACUUCCAGAUGAGGAGUGGAUUCCUCCACCUCCACCUGAUACUGAACCAGUUCCUCCACCCCCACCCGAUGAACCACUCCCCUCAUAUCCUCCACCCCCACCAUAUUCUGAGACUGUUACUUCUCUUAGUUAUGCAGAGCAAUACAAUUUGGGUUAUCCAGUUUCUAAUUUUAACUACUAUGGCACCACAAUGACAGAAGUGCCAAUGGCUAAUUAUUAUUCUCAUGGGGAAACACAUCAGCUAGCUGAACCCCAGCCAGCACAGUAUUAUGAUACAGUACAGAACACCUAUCCCGAAGCUGCUCCUGCAAUGGUCAAUCCUGUGCCUACUGAACCUGUAGUGUACUAUGACCUUCCUAAUGGAACAAUGCCUCCUGUAGCUGUGAUCACUAGCUCAGAAUCUGCUGGUUUCUACAAUGAAUCUGGACCUGUAGUUAGUAGCAUGGAGUCAUCGGGUUUCUAUUGUGAAUCUGGUUCUGUAGGUUAUCAUGAUACUGCUGCUUCUGUUCAGAUGGGAUCUGUUGAGGCCCUUACAGAGUCUGGAUCCAGUUCAUUACCAAGUGCAAAGGUUGAACCUAAUUUUUCUACCAACUCAGUCAGUGCACAGGUUCCAUCUAUACAACCCGCAGUUCAAGCAUCAACAACCACUGUAGUAUGUGAGAGUGCUCCUGCCCCAGCAGCAACCACUGCUUCUGCUUCAGCUGCUUCCAAGGCUCAAUCUAAAGGUUGUUGGGGUCUCUGCUUCCUUUCAUCGAACCUGGGCCUCAAUCGCCAAAGCUACUGAACAGCUUCAUCCUUCAGCGGCAAAUGGAUAGCAAAAGUGUGGUGGCAGGGAUCAACAUGGGUUAAGAGGAGAUAGACAUUUGGGCUAGAGAAUUGGGGUGUGGGUCAAGCAAUUGGCCUUUGAAAUAUUUAGGACUCCCUGGGCCUGGCCACAGAAGCCUGGUUCAACCACUAAAAAAAAAAAUAUUUAGGACUCCCUUUUGGUGCUAACCCUAGAUCAUUGAAUUUUUUGAGAUUCAAUAGUGGAAAGAUUCAAGAAGAAGUUUGUCUAUUUGGAAGAGGAACUAUAUUUCCUUAGGGGGUAGGAUAACUCUUAUUAAAUCCACUUUAGCAAAUCUCCCAGUAUAUUUUCUCUCAGUGUUUGAUAUGCCUCAGUCCAUUGUCAAAAGAUUAGAGAAGAUCAUGAGGGAUUUCUUGUGGGAACCGGGGGAGGAGAAGAGGGAUCAAUCGGAUCAUCUCAUUAGAUAGGAUAUUGUGUGUAAGGGGAAGAAGAAUGGUGGUUUGGGGCUGGGAAGGCUUAAGGAUAAAAAUGUGGUGUUAUUAGGCAAAUAGCUGUGGAGAUUCCCAUGGGAAACAGAUAGACUUUGGGCAAAAAGUGGUGGCUAGCAUUCACGGGCUCUUUGAGAACAUGUGGGUUGCUGGGGUUUCUAGCAGGACUUCCAGAGCUGCACCUUGGAAAGCAAUCCACAAGGUCCUUCUGCUUUUCCUCAAUCACAUCAGGAUUCCGGAGAAAUGUCAGACUCAGAAUUGAUUCAUGUAUCCAAUCUCCUUCUCUUACUGAAUGGGGUGUACCUUGACGGUAGUAGAGGAGACACUCGGGUGUGGACUGGUAAUCUUUCAGGGGUCUUUAGUGUUUUGUCCUUUUUUGAAGCCUUGUCUGCCCCACAAUUCCCAUCAGUCUCUUUCCCAGUUAAGGAAGUCUGGAACCAUCCUGUUCCCCCCCAAAGUGGGUGCUUUUUGCUGGGAAGUUCACCAUGGUGCAAUCAACACAUGCGAUAGGCUGCAAAGGAAAAGACCUGGCUGGUGCCUCUCUCCAAACAGGUGUAUCUUGUGCAAUUUAGAUGGUGAAUCUGCCUUUCAUCUUUUCAUUUCUUGCCCCUUUGCUGGUUAAAUUUAGGAUAGAAUUUUUGCUCUUUUUGGUUGCAGGUGGACUUCUCUGAGAAGUUUGGAUAGGCUUUUUGAUCCAUCUACCUUUAGGUGGCCAAGAAAAAGGGGGAGGAUGAUGUGGAGGUGCACAAGGGCUGCUGUAAUAUGGAUGAUUUGGGAAGAAAGAAACUUCAGAAGUCAGAAUAUUCGAAGAUAAGGAAAGAAGUGUAGUGUUUGUGCUCGACUGUGUGCUGGUGAAAGUAGUGCAUUGGGCAAAAACAGUGAGCUUGUUGUUCUCUGAAUUUAUUGCUGAUGAUUUACUCAGAAACUGGAGGGUGAUUGCAGGGUCCUCAUCCUCCAAGAAAAGCCUUUUGUGGCAGUGGGGUCCACCAACAUCUGAUUUCCUCAAGCUGAAUGUUAACAGGAGCAGUGUUGGUAAUCCAGGCCCUUUUGGAAUAGGAGUGUUGAUAAGGGAGAAAUCUUGGGGUUGUUCUUGGGACCAAUUGGGGAAAGGAAUUCCACAAGAGUUGAGUUGGAGGCAGUUCUGUAUGGCUUACAAAAAGCAAUGGAGUUAGGCAUUCAGAAACUGAUAAUCGAAGGGGACUCUAAAGUGAUCCUAAGCUGGUUGAGAGGAGAGAAAGAGUCCUUGGUGGUUCAGAAA